GUAAAAAAUUGCUGUAAAAAAACGGGGAAUUUUGGACAGUAAUUUACCGUUUCUCAUAAAUACAGUUGAAUACUGUAAAUAAACAUUAAUAUGACAAACAAAAUAAUAACAGCAAGCUCCUGUUCAGUCUUACGGGAUAAUACAGUAUUUUUUGGUUUGGUCAGGCAUGUCAGACAUGUGACGAGCUCAUCUGCAACCAUGAGUAAAACUGAUUUAACUACACUGUUUUUCUGCAUUUUAUUAUACGAGAAGGAAGCAGAAUUAAAGACUGUCUAUCCAUUUUCACUCCGAUUGUGACCCUACCAGCACUGAGACGGACGACGAAUUCACUUGUUUUUUACUCCUCGCCUGUAUAUCAAGUUGCUGGUGAUGAAGUAACAUUUGGAGGUUGGAUGAUCAGCAGUGAAAACAUCAUCAUCUGUGAAGGCAAGAUGAAGCUGCGAGGACACUGGAGUUUGUUCAAAGAUGCUUAAUUGGUGUGAACCCUAAGAGGUGAACAAAAGCCAGGCAGGUGAAGGUGUCCGAGAAGACAGGAAAGCUUGUCCAGAAAAACGCAGCAACUGUUAAUCCCCACGUGACCACCCUCAUCAAAAACUUCAUGGACUUUGAGUGGCUUUCACAUUGUAUUCUGCAGUGUUGUGAUAUUUAUGUGACAUCACAGCAUUAUGUUUUAUUCAGCCCAGUCUCAUUAGUGAGGCAGAAACUGACAUUUAAGAAUGCACUGAAUUUUGUUAUAUUUAAUAAAAACAGUGUUUUAUCAUCAUCCUUUGUUUGAGAAUUUUUUUGCAAGCAAUUUUAAGUGUUUAUUUUAAAAUUACAUUUUAACAAUGCUAGAAAAAUCACAUUCUACAGUAUAAAUAACAGCAGGAACCCUAAAAUAACAGUAUAAUGCAUCCAAACAUCUGACAGUAUUAUACUGUGCAGCUCCCUUUUUUUACAGUACUGUCUCGUAAUAUUUGUACAGUAAAAAACUGUUGUUGUAAAUUACAGUAGGUAAUCUGUAAAAUUACAACUAUAUGCUGGCAAAUCUAGC